rnacentral:rRNA from 1 species
AUUGAACGCUGGCGGCAGGCUUAACACAUGCAAGUCGAGCGGAGCGAGGGUGCUUGCACCUUAGCUUAGCGGCGGACGGGUGAGUAAUGCUUAGGAAUCUGCCUAUUAGUGGGGGACAACAUUCCGAAAGGGAUGCUAAUACCGCAUACGCCCUACGGGGGAAAGCAGGGGAUCUUCGGACCUUGCGCUAAUAGAUGAGCCUAAGUCGGAUUAGCUGGUUGGUGGGGUAAAGGCCUACCAAGGCGACGAUCUGUGGCGGGUCUGAGAGGAUGAUCCGCCACACUGGGACUGAGACACGGCCCAGAAUCCUACGGGAGGGAGCAGUGGGGAAUAUUGGACAAUGGGGGGAACCCUGAUCCAGCCAUGCCGCGUGUGUGAAGAAGGCCUUUUGGUUGUAAAGCACUUUAAGCGAGGAGGAGGCGCUCUAGGAUAAUACCCUAGAUGCGUGGACGUUACUCGCAGAAUAAGCACCGGCUAACUCUGUGCCAGCAGCCGCGGUAACAC